GGAAAGGAAGAUCUUGAUAGCCCAGAAGACGAAGAACUUGGAGAUAUAUUAACGCAUGGAAACCCAUCCGAAUUUAACACGCCAUAAGAAGGUCAAUCGGUUCAUAUUGAUUACGAUGAACUUGUUAGGGCAAUGCAAAGAAUUUGAUGAUUCGGAUUACUACUAGUAUACUACCUGUUACAAAAGAUGUAAAGUUUUUACUACUUAAUGUACAUUUUAGUUUUUCUUUAUUUGAAUUUAAGAAAUAAAGUAGCACUUGCAAUAAGUGCAAUUUUUUCCCAUCUUUUGUUGUGUUCAUUC
rnacentral:lncRNA from 1 species